UGGGGAAUUGUUCGCAAUGGGCGCAAGCCUGACGACGCAACGCCGCGUGGAGGAUGAAGGUCUUCGGAUUGUAAACUCCUGUUGAUCGGGAAGAAUGAGUCCCGGAUGAAUACUCCGGGGCAAUGACGGUACCGAUUGAGGAAGCCACGGCUAACUCUGUGCCAGCAGCCGCGGUAAUACAGAGGUGGCAAGCGUUGUUCGGAAUUACUGGGCGUAAAGGGCGCGUAGGUGGCCUUUUGAGUCAGACGUGAAAUCCCCCGGCUUAACCUGGGAACUGCGUCUGAUACUGGGAGGCUUGAGUUCGGGAGAGGGAUGUGGAAUUCCAGGUGUAGCGGUGAAAUGCGUAGAUAUCUGGAGGAACACCGGUGGCGAAGGCGGCAUCCUGGACCGAAACUGACACUGAGGCGCGAAAGCCAGGGGAGCAAACGGG
rnacentral:rRNA from 1 species